CUGUGACAAAACUCUACGCUCAGGUCAGAGAUACUACAGUGGAGGUGGUGAAGUCCUGAAGUGAGGCAGAAGUUGAUAAAACACUCUUCCAGUCCAAAACACACGACGGCCGUCUCCCGUGGGGGUGGCACCGACCUCACCAGGCUGGGGGAGCUAGGGGGCUUCAGGUUCCACCCACAGCCUCAAAUCUGGAACUCUCCUUUGUGCUCAGGCCCGGUAGCUUCCUCGAGAAUCCAUGCUUUCUAAUGUUUUUAAAUGCCCCCCAGGAGACCCUGGGGUCCCUCCCUGCACCCCGGCUUCUGCUGGCCAUCCUGCUGCAAGGAGCAGAAACUCCGCUGGUGGAAUCGUCCAUCUCACAGAUGCGCAAACCGGAGGUGGGCAGGGCCGUUUCAGGUCCACAGCUCGGAGACAUAUUGAAGUAGAUUUGGUCAGCAAACAGCUGCCGGCCUCUUCCUGAGCUCCCCGGUUACUGUGGCCCCUUCAGCCCGGGCCCAGAAUAAACACACGUGGAACAGACCAGAGGCACCCCGUGCCCAGCCUGAAGCAGAGUGUCCCAGGCCUGGCCUGAGCUGUGCACGUGAGAAGGAAUGCCUGCUGUCAGUCACUGGUUCGGGAGCACUGUUUCAGGAUGUUAUCGUAGCAAUAGUGACCGCUACAGGUGCUCUUGGGCACUCAGCUUGUCCUCACGCCUGUCCCCUCAGGUCUCUGGCUGCCACAGAGCCAGACGCAUGUCUUCACACAGCCACUUGGAGAGGCAGGAGAAGGGGACAGCUUCUCUCCGUGUAGCUUUCUGUUUUUGGUCACAGGGGACACCUCUCCCCAGAAACCUCUUCCCCCAUAGACAUCUCUCAUCUCACGGGCAGAGCUGUGUCUCAGGCCUGUUUGUCAUCCAUGCCCUCACUGAUCACUGGCAAGAGAGAUGGAGUCACUGUGACUGGCUCACGUUAGUGAACAUUUCCUCCCUCCCUGAGGUGGGGAAAGGCCACCAGGAAUCAGAGGGGGGCCCAGUGGUCCACCAGAAUGUGGGUUCCAUUAGCAGGGAAGUAAGUGAGCCACGGCAAUUGAGUGAGAAACCACAGGGUUGGCCACGGACUCCCACAGCCCCAGGAAGCUGACAACCAAAUGCAAUUUCAUAAUGUAUAUGUCACGUGCAUACGUGCCAUGAUUACACUGUGAUUCUUACUCUGUGAUUCCAGUGGGUCUUCUCUGAGUUUGUGAUCUUAAGGCAGUGGUGGAUGGCCAGAUUUUUAAUAGCUGAACCAUUUUUAAAACAAAGAUUUCCAGCAGAACUCCAACCUAUAAGACAAAGAAAUCCUCUGGCUCAUGGGGAAUAUGCAUGUGUGGGCAUGCGGGGCGGGGGAGGAGGAUGGUGGGGAGCUCCAAGCCCCGUUUGCUCAGCCUGCUUCAUCUCUCCCUCCCACCCAGGUCCCCCAAGAUAUGGUCAAAGAGCCCGGGAUUCCACCAAAGCCAGUUAGGAAACCAUUGUAUAAAGAAACAGAACUUACAUUUAUUGAGUAUCUACUAUAUUCUAGGCAAUUGUUCAUGCAUGUGGGCCUUUAAUCUGACAGUAUCCUUUAUGCCUAUUUUAAAAAGAAAUGAAAUAAUUGCCUAAGGUCAUACAAUAAGCCAGCUGGGCCAAGAUUAGAAACCAGAUGUUUGCCUCCAAAACCAGUGUUUGGUCUCAGAUCCAGAGCAUUGCCCCAUUCCCUACCCUCCCAGCCCAGUUGAGGGGUAUUUCUAAACAGUGCCUCUGGCCUCUGUCUGUCAGUGUCUGGAAAGAGCGGCUACUCUGGAGUCACAUAGUGACGUUUGGAGAGGCCUGGGUUUGAGUUCUGGCUGUGCCUUUCAUUUGCUGUGUGGCGUUGGGCAAGUCUCUUGACCUUUCUGGGUUUCAGUUUCCUCAGCUACAAAAUGAGAUGUUAGGCCCUCACGGCUUUGAUAUGCUAGGACCUAAAUUUAGCACACCUCACUGGCCUGGAUUGACACCUGCUGGGUGAAUCUUCCACAUCAAUGAGACAGAAACAGCACAGAGGGCCUGGGCCUCCGAAAGAGGAAGUGGAACUGAGCCCUCUGCAUCCCCACCCACCCCUGCACGCUGCCACCAUCUGACCUGAUUACACCCAGCUGGAGGGGCCUGCCAGUGACUCAGCCCCUCGGCCUAUCUGAUUGUCAGAGUUGAUUCCUAGAAGUUGAAAGUCACUUCUCUCUGUAGCCAUCACCACCACCUCCCACCACGAGGGCUUUCAUGUCAGUUAACCUCAGCCAAACAACUCUGCGAUCCUUGGAGUUCCCGUUGCACCCAUCUCGUCUCUCAAAGGCUAGAGCCACUGGAUGAACCAGCGCAGUCCCUUCCACCGGCACCUCUUCCCAAUCCAAUCAGAUGCAUUCCAGUCCUGGAAGUGUUAACAACCCGGUGCUUGGGCCUCUGAUUACCAACACAACAGGGUGGAGAGGAAGCACUCAGGCAGACAUCACAGGUGCUCAAACAGAAGCCACCAGCAUGUACGGGACAAGCAGGUUCCAUGGGAAUAUGGGUGGGGCACCCACCGAGGCUGCUGCAAUGGGUCUGUUGACAAUACAUGCUAUACAUGCAUUGAAAUCAUUGUCCAGAAUAAAAAUAUCUGCCUCACUGAGAGCAUCCUGUGUUAAAGCACAUUACAUGCUAUUAACUCAUUUCAUCUCCAUAAUAACACUGUUAGGUGACUACUAGGAGGAUCCCCAUUUUAUAGAUGAGUAAACUGAAGCAGAGAUAUUAAACCACUUUCCCAAGAUCCCACAGCUAGUAAAUCACUAUAUGUCAAACUCCGCAGGGACUGUAAUUGUGCCUGAUUUUGUCCAAUAGUGUUUAUGUUAAGAUACUUAAUAUAUUCAGUGAAUGAAGAAUUAACUUCAUAUCUGUGUGCAGUGAAUUAUUUGAGGGCAGGAAUUGAAUUUUUUGGCCUCAGUAGUCAGAGCAUCUAGCCUAUAGUUGACACUCAAUGGGAACUUACUGGAAAAAUGAGUGAAUGAUUUAGGAAAGACCAAGAACUAGAAGUUUCUUCCUCAGCCAGAGAUAACUGUGUGACCUUGGAUAAGUCUCCUCCCUGGCAUGGCCUCAGUUUCUCACUCUGUAAAC